rnacentral:rRNA from 1 species
AGCGGACGCUGGCGGCAGGCCUAACACAUGCAAGUCGAACGAACCCUUCGGGGUUAGUGGCGGACUGGUGAGUAACACGUGGGAACGUGCCUUUAGGUUCGGAAUAACUCAGGGAAACUUGUGCUAAUACCGAAUGUGCCCUUCGGGGGAAAGAUUUAUCGCCUUUAGAGCGGCCCGCGUCUGAUUAGCUAGUUGGUGAGGUAAUGGCUCACCAAGGCUACGAUCAGUAGCUGGUCUGAGAGGAUGACCAGCCACAUUGGGACUGAGACACGGCCCAAACUCCUACGGGAGGCAGCAGUGGGGAAUCUUGCGCAAUGGGCGAAAGCCUGACGCAGCCAUGCCGCGUGGAUGAUGAAGGUCUUAGGAUUGUAAAAUCCUUUCACCGGUGAAGAUAAUGACUGUAGCCGGAGAAGAAGCCCCGGCUAACUUCGUGCCAGCCGCCGCAGUAAAAC